UUGUCCUACGGGGCGCAGCAGUGAGGAAUAUUGGUCAAUGGUCGGGAGACUGAACCAGCCAAGUCGCGUGAGGGAUGACGGUCCUAUGGAUUGUAAACCUCUUUUGUCAGGGAGCAAAGGGCGCCACGUGUGGCGCUUUGCGAGUACCUGAAGAAAAAGCAUCGGCUAACUCCGUGCCAGCAGCCGCGGUAAUACGGAGGAUGCGAGCGUUAUCCGGAUUUAUUGGGUUUAAAGGGUGCGCAGGCGGAAUGUCAAGUCAGCGGUAAAAUUUCGGGGCUCACCCCCGUCGUGCCGUUGAAACUGGC
rnacentral:rRNA from 1 species